GCUAGAAUAGCCCAGUUGAUUAGAGCGUGUAGCUGUUAACCACAAUGUCGAAGGUACAAGCCCUUAUGUUUUUU
rnacentral:tRNA from 1 species